AUACAUUCAACGCUGAGUUCCUGCAUUUGCAGGGAACGGGGGAACCAUCAGGCCACAUGGCCUACUUGGGGUGAAUCCGAAGGAGACUGUUCAAGUCUCACAUAGGUAGGGCGACUCUCACCGUCCGAAUCCGACAGCUAACCUCGUAAGCGUAAAGAGAGAGACC
rnacentral:sRNA from 2 species